rnacentral:misc_RNA from 1 species
GAUGAAGAACGCAGCAAAAUGCGAUAAGUAAUGUGAAUUGCAGAAUUCAGUGAAUCAUCGAAUCUUUGAACGCACAUUGCGCCCGCUGGUAUUCCGGCGGGCAUGCCUGUUCGAGCGUCAUUUCAACCCUCAAGCCCCCGGGUUUGGUGUUGGGGAUCGGCUCUGCCCUUCUGGGCGGUGCUGCCCCCGAAAUACAUUGGCGGUCUCGCUGCAGCCUCCAUUGCGUAGUAGCUAACACCUCGCAACUGGAACGCGGCGCGGCCAUGCCGUAAAACCCCAACUUCUGAAUGUUGACCUCGGAUCAGGUAGGAAUACCCGCUGAACUUAAGCAUAUCAAUAAGCGGAGGA